UAUUUCGGUAAUCGAUGGGGAUGCGUUCCAUUAGAUAGUAGGCGGGGUAACGGCCCACCUAGUCUUCGAUGGAUAGGGGUUCUGAGAGGAAGGUCCCCCACAUUGGAACUGAGACACGGUCCAAACUCCUACGGGAGGCAGCAGUGAGGAAUAUUGGUCAAUGGACGGGAGUCUGAACCAGCCAAGUAGCGUGAAGGAUGACUGCCCUAUGGGUUGUAAACUUCUUUUAUACGGGAAUAAAGUCGGCCACGCAUGCCCGUUUGCAUGUACCGUAUGAAUAAGGAUCGGCUAACUCCGUGCCAGCAGCCGCGGUAAUACGGAGGAUCCGAGCGUUAUCCGGAUUUAUUGGGUUUAAAGGGAGCGUAGAUGGACAGUUAAGUCAGUUGUGAAAGUUUGCGGCUCAACCGUAAAAUUGCAGUUGAUACUGGAUAUCCUUGAGUACAGUAGAG
rnacentral:rRNA from 1 species